rnacentral:misc_RNA from 1 species
GAUGAAGAACGUAGUGAAAUGCGAUAAGUAAUGUGAAUUGCAGAAUUCAGUGAAUCAUCGAAUCUUUGAACGCACCUUGCGCCCUUUGGCCAUUCCGAAGGGCAUGCCUGUUUGAGUAUCAUGAACACCUCAACUCUCAUGGCUUGCCAUGAUGAGCUUGGACUUUGGGGGUCUUGCUGGCCUGUGGUCGGCUCCUCUCAAAUGAAUCAGCUUUCCAGUGUUUGGUGGCAUCACAAGUGUGAUAACUAUCUGCGCUCGUGGUUUCCAUCAGAUAACCUCCAGUGAUGGAGGUUCGCUGGAGCUCAUAAAUGUCUCUCCUAAGCGAGGACAGCUCUUUUAAUGUUUGAUCUCAAAUCAGGUAGGACUACCCGCUGAACUUAAGCAUAUCAAUAAGCGGAGGA